rnacentral:rRNA from 1 species
GACGAACGCUGGCGGCGUGCUUAACACAUGCAAGUCGAACGAUGAACCCGGAGCUUGCUCCGGUGGAUUAGUGGCGAACGGGUGAGUAACACGUGAGUAACCUGCCCUUGACUCUGGGAUAACUGCGGGAAACUGUAGCUAAUACCGGAUACGACCCUCCGCGGCAUCGCCAGGGGGUGGAAAGAAUUUCGGUCAAGGAUGGACUCGCGGCCUAUCAGCUAGUUGGUGAGGUAACGGCUCACCAAGGCGACGACGGGUAGCCGGCCUGAAAGGGUGACCGGCCACACUGGGACUGAGACACGGCCCAGACUCCUACGGGAGGCAGCAGUGGGGAAUAUUGCGCAAUGGGCGAAAGCCUGACGCAGCAACGCCGCGUGCGGGAUGACGGCCUUCGGGUUGUAAACCGCUUUCAGCAGGGAAGAAGCCGCAAGGUGACGGUACCUGCAGAAGAAGCACCGGCUAACUACGUGCCAGCCGCCGCCGUAA